UUCGUUGAUUAGGAAUCCACUGUUUUCGUCUGUGUCUGCAAUUAGAGGCGUAACUUUUGGUUCCACCACAAUCGUCGCAAUUCGCCAUUAGAGAGACUGAGGUGCAGUCGGUGUGACGAUUCCAUUUGUUGGUUUUGAUCAGGUUCUUUCGCCUUCUUUCGAUCAAUCGAAAUGAGGUUAGUUUAGCUCCUCUUCAAACCAUCGUUGUCGAUUUUCAUGGCCAAAUAAGAGGAGAUCGAGAAGAACAAGUGGGAGGUUUGGAAAAGGAUUUAAGCUCAGCUUUGUUGUGUCGAAGAAGAGACCGGGCGAUUGGUGAAUUUAUAUAGUUUUAUCAUCCUCAUCACAAUCUUAUUUAUUGUACAAAAAAAAACUUUCCUUCAAGGUUUUGUUUCUGUAAAAGAUCCGACUUUAAUGUUAGGCCUAGAACUGAAGUGAUCAAUAUCACCAAAAGACAUGAUAUAGUAUGGUUUUUGAGGCUUUUAUGAGUUAUGUGGAUCAAAGCUCUUUCCUUUUUAUGGGAAGAACCAUUUGUUGAGGCCUGAGGGAAGUAGAAAAAGAUUUAUUUUUCCUUUUAUAGGAUCUUCAGACUAUGUUUCUUUGUUGAGGGAAGAAGUCGAAAAAGAAUUAACAGCUCCCGUUGGGAAAAAACACCUCCUGGAAGACAAAAGAAGAGACCAAAAACUGUUCAGAAGCAAAUAAUAGGACAUAACACAGGCUCUUAUGACCCCCCUGACGCUGAGGAAACAUGAUCAAAGGUCAGAGUCACUGCAUAUAACUUCAUCGAAAACCAUAAGACUUUCACCGUAAGUGCAUCAUUGAUGAGAUUGGCCGUGAACCAGUACCUGGCGUGGCUGACAAUGCAAGGUGAUGAUGACGGUGGUGAUGACGACAAGCCAGCUGUCAAGCCAGUUCCUGUUAUGUCUGAAUCUGCAGGGGGCAGUGGUAAUAUGCAGAAGCAGACGGCCAACUCAGAUUUGAAGAUGGUUAAAAAGGCGCGUGUUGCUUGACAUGAAGUUUCAAUAAAUUUAUGAUCAGACUAUGCAUCUUAAUAAUGCUUUUGCAUCUUUAUUGCCUUUCACGUCUUUUUUUUGAGACUGAAACCGUUCACGUCUUUUGCUUUCUAUGUUUUGACUUUCUCCAAUAUUAUGAGCACUCUACGUUUGUUCCAGGCAGUUUUCGUUAUAUGAGUUUAUUUUUCCUUA